UAAAUUUCAGGUGACGUGUAUAGGCUGGCUGCACGGGAGUGAACAUUACUUUGUAGAGGUAAAAUGUGCUCUUGGCCAAACCAUUAUUGUCAAGCUGUGGAUUAGCCAAAAAAAGAAAAGAAAAAAAGAUGAUCACCAUAACCAAGGUUGAUCACAAGAGCCAUAUACAUGCUGCUCGUUCCAAUUCCAAAAUGUAAGUCAUUCUAACUUUAAAACAUCUUAAGUUUAACUAAAUUUAUAUAAUAAAAUAUAAAAGUAUUUAUGAUAUCAAAUAAGUAUCAUUAGAUUUUUCAUUAGUUAUAUUUGUAUAUGCUAUAUGUAUCCUUUUUUAUGUCAUAAAUCUUUGUAAUUCUCUCUAUAUUUUUGAGAGAAAAAACACCAGUCCCAAUUGAAACUUGGAUUGAGUAGCUUGAGUGGGGGUAGUCAGUUAUUUUCAGCCAGAAUUUGACUAUAUUUCGAGAGAGAAAAAAACGCCAGUCCCAAUUGAAACUUGGAUUGAGUAGCUUGAGUGGGAUGCUCAAUUAUUUUCAGCCAGAAUUUGACUGUAAGGGGUUCCAAAGACGUCCUUAGAAUAAAAGGUUCCGAGGUUCAGUUGUGAUGUUGCUCUUGCUGCCAUCUUCAUCACACUGUGUUUGGUUCUGAAGGCUCAACUGGUCAACAUGGUACACAUGCACUGCAGUGCUACCCAAACAAGUUAAAAUCAAUGAUUAUUAUGCACUUGGAUUGGAUCAUCACUUACAUACAUAAACGGACACAAGCAAGUUGUAUAUAGGACUUACAGAUAAUCGAGUCACAAAUUAAACGAACAUUCAGAUGACUUUUACAUACAUAUACAUAUGACAGAACAUGCGUACGUGAGCCAGGACGUACCAUAUUGUAGUUCGCCGGGGAUGGGGACGAGCUCGGCCAUGAAGGAGGCGGGGCUUGACCAAGGAGGAGGUGGACACAGCUCAGCCAUGGAGGAGGCGGGGCUUGGUCUGAGCAGAGAAAGAGAUGAGGAAGAAGAGAGAGAGAGAGAGAGACAGGGGCAACAAGGAUAUUUCGUGCUUGUUUUCUCUCCUCCUUAUCUAGAAA
rnacentral:lncRNA from 1 species